GGCCAAAGCAUGAAGUGAAGAGGAAAGGAAAGAACACAAACCCUAGGUGGGAAAACUGAAGAAAAAGUGUGGGAUUUCAAGGGAUUAAGCUGAUAAAGGUAAAAAUUUUGUGAUUUUAUCUUGUGAUUUACACUAACCAUGCUUUCUUUUUCAUUUUUCAUGCUUAGAACUCAAGUUUGCAUAAUGAACCCAUGCUGGCCAAAUUUGAGAUGAGAAGUUUUUAGCAUUGAUUUUGCUAGAUUUCAAGCUAAUUAAGUGUUUUUGGCUGUUUGGUAAUGGAAAGUAUAAAAAUCUAGCAAUGAAUCACUUUGUUCUUCACAAACCCACAAGAGGCCGAAUUUUCUAGGGAGGAUAUUGAGGCUGAAAUUAAUGAUAUUUCAUGAUAAAUUGGGGGUAUUUAAUGAUUGGUGAGGCUAGAAAUUUAAUGAAAAAUUUUAGCAUGAAAAUCUAAAUUUUUACCUAAUGUAUAGACAUGUGCGAUUUAUGGUUCGGACCGAUAAAUUGAAUCAUAUUCACAGUCAUUGAGGUAUUUUAAGUAUAAUUGGAGUGUAAAAAGUGAAAGAAAUCAAUUUGGAGUUAAAUUGAAGGUUUUAGCCAAUUACACCGAAAAUAGUACGAAUUAGGUCGAAUACCGUAUUUAAACGGCUAUUCAGACAUUUUGCAUCACAUUUCAUGCAUUCAUAUAGAUUUAUAGAGCCUGAAAUAGUUUACGAUAAAUUGACACAAUUUAUUAAAAUUCGUGUCACGGAUGAUGUAUAGGUGGUAAGCCCUCUAACAAGGGUAAAGAGAUUGUGCCCCGAAGACUGGGAAUAGGAGUAUAUCGAACUCCUAGUACAGUGAGUAACCUUACUAUCGUCUUAAUUAUCUAAAGUGAUUUUUAUCCAAUUUUGUGAUUUUAUGAAAAAUGAGUUAAAUGGUAAAUCCUUAUGUUUUGUAAUUAAAAUGUGAUUUAAUAAAAUGAUUUUGUAAAUUGUCUUGAAAUGAAAUGAUGGUUUGGAAAAUAGAGUAAUUGAAGACUGUUUUCAUAUGUUGUAAAUUCAUGGUUUAAAUUGAAUGACUUAUGACAAUAUUGGCAUGAAUGGCUAAAUUGGUAUUUGUGUUGAAAUGUAUAAAUUAUUGUUUGCCUUGAGAGGCUGUAAAAUAAAAUAAUUGUCAUGUUAUUGCAAAAUUUUAUUAUAUGGUGGGUUUAGCUAGCUGCAGUGGGCUGGUUCUAUGGACUAGCCUAUUAGAGGGGCACGAAACCUGGUCAUAUUCAUACCUCAAUAUGAGAGGCGCGGAUGGAUAACUCCUGAGGUUAACACUUUAAAGUUCGCUUCACGCCAAACCACCACGUGAGGGUGAACUCGACCAACGCCAAGGAACGGCUAUGUUUUCAAAAUAGAAACAUGAUUUUAUGCGUACAUAACUUUUUAACAGCCUUGGCGGACUCGAUUGGGAUAGCCCUCGGCUAAGGUAUCCCUGAUAACUAAGUAUGAGAAAGAUUUUUGGCACAAGCCAAGCUUUUCAGGAAAUCAUAAGCCUAGUUGUUUAUUUGGUUGAAAUGAGUUGAAAGGUAAUGAAAUUAUAGUAUGAUGACUUAUUUUAAUUGUCUCCAUUUACUCAACUUUAGAUGGUUUAGAUGGUAUCUGUUUACUCACUGGAAUUUUAUAAUCUCACCACCCUCCUUUUCAACCAUUUCAGGCCUGAGGUAGCCUGUGGAUAGUAGAUAUCGUCAAGGAUUAUAGUCGGCUUUACUACUCCAAAAACUGUAGGUUUACUGUCUUUGUGCACUUUUGUUGCUUGUGGGCCCACGAGUCACUAUAAAGUAAAUUUUAUAUCCCGGUUAUCUGUAUUAUAGUAUGAAUGAAUUUAUUUAGCUUUUACAUUACAAAAAUUAUUUACCAAUGACUCUAUAAAUAUUGUUUUACAAGAAGUUAGAAUUUUUUAUUGAAUAUUUUUAUUUUAUUCAAAUAGUUGCAAUAUCAUUUUUAAUAAAUGUUUUAGACACCCAAAUUUAUUCUAAAUCAUGAAAUAUGUGUUUU
rnacentral:lncRNA from 1 species